rnacentral:lncRNA from 1 species
AUUUUUCCCUUUGUUGGUUUUUUCUGUAAACCCGGUCAGCGUGGCACGUUUGUGAGAAGGAGGUCAUGGGAUGGCGCGAUCAAUCCAGAUCACGACGGGCUGGCCGGGGUUUGUUAGCUAGGCUUUCGGUUGUACCAGGAAUAAGGGGAAAAAGGAAUGAAACAGAAAACGCUGCGCUGUUAGCUGCGGCACAAAAAGACUUUCCUCUCUCUCGCGUGCGUGUGUUCUUCAGCUCAGGUUCUUGGCUCGAUCGGCUAUUCGGCAACGACAAUUGGCAUCAGAGCCAUGGUGUUCGAUCCACUCUCCGGUGGCCGGCGGUGUCCGAUCCGCGGCGAUCCAUGUCGGAUAGCGAUUCAGAGAAGGGCAAGGCCGGGAAGAAGGACGGAACCAAGUCGCCGCCGAGCGCAGCGCCUGUGGCGCGGCUGACCACCGGCGGCAGCGGCGAGUACCACAUGGUGGAGCGCAUCAUGCGAGAGGAGUCGGGGGCGUCCAUGAUGCUCACGUGCACGAACUAUCAGGAGUGGGCACUCGUGAUGCAAGUCAAGCUGCAGGUCGCCCGCGUCUGGUCCGCGGUGACCGCCGCCGCCGCCGACGAGAAUGACGACCGGCGCGCGCUGCAGAUUAUCCUCACCGGCGUCCCGCCGGAGAUGCUGCGUGUGCUGGCCGCGAAGGACACGGCGAAGAAGGCAUGGGAGACCAUCAAGACCAUGCGGAUGGGCAGCGAGCGCGCCCGCGAGGCCAAGGCACAGGUGCGCCGGCGGGAGUUCGAGGAUCUCUGUUUCAAGGACGGGGAGUCCAUCGAGGACUUCAGGCUGCGGCUCUCCGUCCUUGUUGCCGAUCUGGAGCUGUACGGCGACCCCGUCAUCGAGCACAAGGCGGUCCAGAAGUUCCUCCGCGUGGUGCCGCGGCGGUACCGCCCAAUGGCCAUGGCGAUCGAGUCUUUGAUCGAUCUGAAGACCAUGUCCAUUGAAGAACUCGUCGGACGCCUCUCUGCCUGUGAGGAUAAUUAUGAUCUUGACAACACCACGCAGGCCGGUGGUCGCCUCCUCCUCACCCGUGAGGAGUGGCUUGCCCGAGAGAGACAGGGCGGCGGCAGCGGGUCGUCAUCCGGUGUGGGCGGCGACAAAAACAAGUCGCUGGCCAAGCCCAAACCUCAGGGCGGCGGCAAGACCGCGCCGGCCAGCACGGGCACGGGCGGCUCCGGUGGCUCCGACGGGAAGAAAAAGGGCAAGUGUUACUACUGCAAGAAGUCAGGACACUGGAAAAAGGACUGCCGAACUAGGAUCAAGGAUGAAGAUGAACAGGGGAAACAAGGGCAGGCACAUCUUGUCCGUCAGGUGGACGAGCACAAUGAGGGGCUAAUGAUGGUCGUGGUCUCCACUUGUGUCACCACCAGUAAAGUUGCACCCCAGCAAGUUCAUCUGAAUGAGGAGAAAGUACGUCCUGAGAUCUCGCCGCCUGGCGUCUGGUAUUUUGAUACUGGGGCAACUAGCCAUAUGACAUGAGAGAGAUGCAUGUUUGCAACACUCGAUGAGACCGUGCAGGGCACAGUCAAAUUUGGAGAUGGCUCGCAUGUUGCAAUCUGUGGCAGGGGAUCAGUUGUAUUCAGAGGACAUUCAGGAAAGCAAAGGGCUCUGUCGGAGGUGUACUUCAUACCAUCUCUUCGUAGUAACAUAAUCUCUGUCGAACAGCUGGAUGAAGGAGGGUGCAAGAUUCAGAUAGGAGAGGGGCUAAUGACAAUUCUUGAUGCAGGCCGGGGCAUGCUAGCUCGUGUUCGCCGCUCAAGCUGUCGCCUCUACACAGCAGUACUCACAAUUGACACACCGGCUUGCUUACUGUCUCAAGGGGAGGACCAAACCUGGCGAUGGCAUGCGAGGAUGGGACAUCUUCAUUUCCGUGCUCUCAAGACCAUGUCCAGCAAGCAGAUGGUGAGAGGAAUGCCACCCAUCGAUCAUGUGCAGGAAUAUUGCGAUGGUUGUGCCCUUGGCAAGCAACACAGGGCUCCUUUUCCUCAGGUUGCGACAUACCAAGCUGAGAAAGGGCUCGAGCUUGUCCACACGGAUCUGUGUGGCCCAAUCACGCCAACAACACCAGGUGGCAGCAAGUAUUUUCUUCUGGUAGUUGACGAUUACAGUCGAUACAUGUGGCUCGAGCUCCUCAAGUCAAAAGACGAAGCGUUUGAUCAUUUCAGAAAAGUUCAGAUCAUGGCUGAGGCAGAAGGGAAGUGCAAGCUUCAUGCAUUCUGUUCGGAUAGAGGGGGUGUAACACCCCGGAUGUGAUUUACCCAAUAUGUACUCCAACUCUUGCCGUUUCCGGCCUUAAGUUAUUUUAUUUUCUCGGGUUCGGGUUUUUGUCUCCGUGUGUUGUUCUCGUUGUCAUGCAUCUAAUAUCAUGUCAUCAUGUGCAUUGCAUUUGCAUACGUGUUCAUCUCAUGCAUUCAAGCAUUUUCCCUGUUGUCCGUUUUGCAUUCCGGCGCUUCGUUCUCCUCUGGUGGUCAUUUCUACCUUUAUUUUGUGUGUGGGGAUUAAACAUUUCCGGAUUGGACCUGGACUUGCCAAGCGGCCUUGGUUUACUACCGGUAGACCGCCUGUCAAGUUUCGUGUCAUUUGGACUUCGUUUGAUACUCCAACGGUUAACCGAGGGACCGAAAAGGCCUCGUGUGUGUUGCAGCCCAACACCCCUCCAAUUUGGCCCAAAACCCACCAAAACCCUCUCCAUCAUCUAGAGCGUUCGAUCACGAUCGCGUGGCCACAAACCGCACCUCAUUUGGACUCUCCUAGCUCCCUCUAUGCCUAUAUAAAGACCCCCUCCGAAAAGUCUCGUUCCCCUCUCCUCAAACCCUAAAAAUCCCCGCCGCCGCCGGACAUGUCCGUGUCCUAGCGGACGAAAUUCCGCCGCCGCGCCCGGCCUGUCAGGGAGCGCCACGUGUCCCGCCGGGGGCUCCCGCCGCGCCGGCUCGCUCGGCCCAGGGAGGGCCCCCGCGAGCCCGCGCCUNNNNNNNNNNNNNNNNNNNNNNNNNNNNNNNNNNNNNNNNNNNNNNNNNNNNNNNNNNNNNNNNNNNNNNNNNNNNNNNNNNNNNNNNNNNNNNNNNNNNNNNNNNNNNNNNNNNNNNNNNNNNNNNNNNNNNNNNNNNNNNNNNNNNNNNNNNNNNNNNNNNNNNNNNNNNNNNNNNNNNNNNNNNNNNNNNNNNNNNNNNNNNNNNNNNNNNNNNNNNNNNNNNNNNNNNNNNNNNNNNNNNNNNNNNNNNNNNNNNNNNNNNNNNNNNNNNNNNNNNNNNNNNNNNNNNNNNNNNNNNNNNNNNNNNNNNNNNNNNNNNNNNNNNNNNNNNNNNNNNNNNNNNNNNNNNNNNNNNNNNNNNNNNNNNNNNNNNNNNNNNNNNNNNNNNNNNNNNNNNNNNNNNNNNNNNNNNNNNNNNNNNNNNNNNNGCCGUGCCGCCUCCGCAGUGCCGCCCCACUCCGACGCCCUUCGUCCUCUCCUCGCCGGUGCCAAGUUCAGCUCCGGCCGGAUCCGGCGACACCAACUCCGGCGAGCUACAGUACCCUGGCGAACCUCGUAAUCCAUGCCGUCCGGAUCUGGAUCUAGAUCCCGUUUGGGUUGACUUUCUCCCGAAACCCUAGUUCAUAUUGCCAUGUUCAUCAUGCCGUAACUCCUCAUCCGUAGCUCCGUUUUGGGCAUAUAGAAUAUAAAAAUGUUCACCUCAGAGAGUACAUCAUUUCAUCUCAUUGCGUCAUUUUCAUUUGAGUUCAUCUUGAUGCCCGAAAUGCUGUUAGAAGAGGGCUACUUGAGAUAAUUUUCAGAUCUGCUGCUCCAUUUAGAUAUUUGUCAUUUUUUCCAUGAUUAUUGUGUGCAUGAUAUGCCCAUGAGCUCUACAUAUGUUUUGUUAAGGGUUUUGCCAUCUUUCCAUAGGUGCAACCCAUGUAUUUUUGUGAUGUGUGUGGUGGCUAGCACAAGCUUGCAAAGUGAGGCACUUGGUAAUGCUGAUUUCAGGGACUUAGCAUUUCCACUAAGUCCUUGACCUGUGUAUCUCAUAUGGCCAUAUGUUCAUGUUGUUUCCUAGUGAUCCGUGCCUCUUUUGAGGAUGAUCAGUAAGGGUGUUUUGUUAAUCUUGUAGUGCUAUAUCCAUCCAUGUCUUUGUUUGCAAUUAUGGAGCACCCUAGCUUGAGUCAAUCGAGCUCUACUUUUGUCAUUUUGUGAAUCUGGGCAGAUUGUCUACUUGUUAGCGAUUUUGCCGAUGAUGUUGUAGUUGAUCCGUGCAUGCUAUGCUAUUGUUCUUGCCAUGUAUAGCUUGCAUUUUGUGUAUUCUUGAUGGGUGUAUGCUUAGAUGGUCAUGACUUGCUCCGUAGUGAGUGCAUCGAGCUCGUAAACAUGCCUACUUGAUAUCUGUUUCAGCAUGCUCCAGUUUUCACCAAGUCUGUGAUCUGAUUAUGUUUUUGCCAUGUUCACAUGCUUGCAAUUGUAUUUUCUGAUCCCUUUUGGCUCAAGGUCACUAAGGGACUUUUGUUAAGCUCUUUGAAUAGCUCCAUGCCAUGCUUUACUUUGCCAUGUUCAGGUCCUGUAGAAUGUAGUUUUGUUGCUCCGAAGAGUGCUAUAUGAUCUGAAAUUCCAGACAAGUGUUAAUUUCACUAAGUCUGAAUCUGUUUGUCAAAUGCAUUUUUUCCAUGCUUGUUUGAACCUGUUAAUGGAUGAUUUGGCCGUAGCUUAGUGCUAGACUUUUGUUAAGCAUCUUGAAUGGAUUUCUGCCAUGUAUUUUGUUGUCAUGUUUGGGUGCUGUGGCAUGUUCAUCUCGUUGCAUUUAGAUGGCUACUUGCUGUAAAUCGCAGAACGUGGUCAUAUUUGAAUUGCUUGUCAUUUCCAAACCGUAGCUCCGAUUCCAGUGUUCUUUAUAUCGUUUUCAAGCGAUUUCAUCUCAUCUUUCCAGUGGCACACUUGUAUUUCCAAGUUGAGGCCAGGUUCAUGUAUUCCUUGUAACAUCUUGCAUAUGCAUCCUGCAUCGCAUCCCGCAUAGCAUAUCAUCCUUGCAUCAUAUUGUUUGAGCUUUGCACAUGGUUGAUUGUGUCCUUGUUGCUUGUUUGUCUUGUUUGGGUAGAGCCGGGAGACGAGUUCGCUAACGAGGAGCCCAUUGAGUUUGCUUUCGAGGAUCCAGUCAACUCUGACAACUUUGCAGGCAAGAUGAUCAUACCCUCGAAAUCACUACUAUCUUUGCUUUGCUAGAUGCUCGCUGUUUUGCUAUGCCAAUGCUACGAUGCCUACCACUUGUUUUCAUGCCUCCCAAAUUGCCAUGUUCAGCCUCUAACCCACCAUGUCCUAGCAAACCGUUGAUUGACUAUGUUACCGCUUUGCUCAGCCCCUCUUAUAGCAUUGCUAGUUGCAGGUGAAGAUUGGAGACCGUUCCUUGUUGGAACAUUAUUUACUUGUUGGGCUAUCAUUAUAUUAUCUUGUUAUCUUAAUGCAUCUAUAUACUUGGUAAAGGGUGGAAGGCUCGGCCUCUCGCCUAGUGUUUUGUUCCACUCUUGCCGCCCUAGUUUCCGUCAUAUCGGUGUUAUGUUCCCGGAUUUUGCGUUCCUUACGCGGUUGGGUGAUAAUGGGAACCCCUUGAUAGUUCGCCUUGAUUAAAGCUUUUCCAGCAAUGCCCAACCUUGGUUUUACCAUUUGCCACCUAGCCUUUUUUUCCCUUGGGUUUCCGGAGUCCGAGGGUCAUCUUAUUUAGCCCCCCCGGACCAGUGUUCCUCUGAGUGUUGGUCCAACCGAGCGAUGUCCGGGGCUACCAGGGGCAACUCUGGGCUGGCCUACCCGACGUCUUGCUCAUCCGGUGUGCCCUGAGAACGAGAUAUGUGCAGCUCCUAUCGGGAUUUGUCGGCGCAUCUGGGUGGUGUUGCUGGAGUUGUUUUAACCUAUCGAAGUGUCUUGAAGAACCGGGAUACCGAGUCUGAUCGGAACGUCUCGGGAGGAGGUCUAUUCCUUCGUUGACCGUGAGAGCUUGUCAUGGGCUAAGUUGGGACUCCCCUGCAGGGAUUUGAACUUUUGAAAGCCGUGCCCGCGGUUAUGGGUAGAUGGGAAUUUGUUAAUGUCCGGUUGUAGAAAACUUGAACCUUAACUUAAUUAAAAUGAAUCAACAGUGUGAGUUACCGUGAUGGUCUCUUCUCGGCGGAGUCCGGGAAGUGAACACGGUGUUGGAGUAAUGCUUGCGCAGGUUGUUCUCUAGUUUCUCGCUCGCGCUUUGCCUCCUCUUCUCGCUCUAUUUUGCGAACAGGAUAGCCACCAUAUAUGCUAGUCGCUUGCUGCAGCUCCACAUAUUUACCUUGCCUUUCCUAUUAAGCUUAAAUAGUCUUGAUCGCGAGGGUGCGAGAUUGCUGAGUCCCUGUGGCUCACAGAUUACUAUUAAACCAGAUGCAGGGCCUGAUGAUUCCGCUCCAGGGGACGCGCUUGAGCUCAAGUGGGAGUUCGACGAGGACUCUCAACGAUACUACGUGUCUUUCCCUGAUGAUCAGUAGUGGUGCCCAGUUGGGGGUGAUCGGGACCGUGUCGCAUGUUGGGUUAUCUUUUAUUUUGGCGCCGUAGUCGGGCCAUGAGUGUUUGGAUGAUGUAAUGUUAUUUAUGCACUUUGAUUGACGUGGCGAGUGUAAGCCAACUAUGUUAUCUCCUCUUUUAUUAUCUAUAUUAUUACAUGGGAUGUUGUGAAGAUUGACUAACUUGCGACAUAUGCCUUCAAUGCGAUUAUGCCUCUAAGUCGUGCCUCGACACGUGGGAGAUAUAGUCGCAUCGAGGGUGUGACAGGGGGUGAGUUCAACUCCGGUGAAUUCAAGGAGUACUGUGAAGGCAUUGGCGUCAAGCAUUACACCACAACACCAUACUCACCACAACAAAAUGGGGUGGUCGACAGAAGAAAUCAAACUGUGGUUGAGAUGGCGCGGUGCUUGCUGAAGAGCAUGGGUGUGCUGUCAUACUUCUGGACGGAGGCUGUUAAGACAGCCGUUUAUCUGCUGAACAGGGCGCCCACCAGAAGCUUGGAGGGUGUCACUCCCUACGAAGCUUGGCAUGGUCGCAAGCCGAGUGUACAACACCUGCAAACCUUCGGUUGCACUGCUCACGUGAAGAAGAACGGGCCCGACAUCACCAAGUUCUCAGAUCGCUCAAUUCCGAUGACCUUUGUUGGUUAUGAAGAAGGCUCCAAAGCCUACCGUGUCUAUGACCCAGUGUCGAAAAAAGUUCAGGUAACGCGUGAUGUGUUUUUUUGAAGAAAAUAGGCCUUGGUCAUGGAGCUCGUCAGGUGCGCCCUCACCAGCUGCAGCACCCGCAUCAUCCUCAACUUUCACCGUGGUUUACACCACGGACCGCGGGGUGCACGAGCUGGACACGGGGGGAGCCGCUGCAUGUAUCACGCGGGCCGAGGAGCAGGAACCCUCUACAUCAACACCUGGGCCUGCAACUCCCGCGGCUGGCACGCCACGCACUGAAUCGUGUUCGCCGGCGAUCGACGGAGCGAUCCGCUGGGCCACGCCUCCCUCGCAUGACGAGGAGGGCCGGGACACGGACACUGGACCUCUUCGCUACCGGCGCCUCUCCUGUAUCCUUGAUGAGACCGAGGGGGAGGCCGUGUGUGAGGCGAUGGAGCGCUGUCUUCUCAGCGCCGAGGAGCCCUCUGGCAUUGACGAUGCGUUGGGCGACCCAGCAUGGAAGAAAGCCAUGGACGACGAGAUGCAGUGUAUCGUCGACAACACCACUUGGGAACUAAGCUCACUGCCGCGGGGUCAUCAACCGAUUGGUUUGAAGUGGGUCUACAAAGUGAAACGGGAUCCGGCGGGCAAUGUUAUCAAACACAAAGCUCGGCUGGUUGCUCGAGGUUUUUCACAGCGCCAAGGGGUGGAUUAUGAUGAGGUAUUUGCUCCAGUGGUGCGGAUGGAAACAAUGCGUCUUCUACUUGCUCUUGCUGCUCAUCACGGAUGGGAAGUCCAUCAUAUGGACGUGAAGUCGGCCUUUCUCAAUGGCGAUCUCAGUGAAGAGGUGUAUGUGGCCCAGCCGCCGGGAUAUGUGGUUGAUGGCCAAGAGCAGAAGGUACUGCGGCUGAAAAAGGCCUUGUAUGGCCUGAAGCAGGCUCCACGUGCUUGGUAUUCGAAGCUAGAUAAGACGUUGUUGAACCUCAAGUUUGUCCGGAGCCCACUGGAGCAUGCCGUCUACCGGCGAGGCGACGCCCAGUCCUAUCUGUUAGUGGGUGUCUAUGUAGAUGAUCUGAUCAUCACGGGAACGGACAUGGCUGCAAUCUUUGAAUUUAAGGCGCAGAUGCAACAUGUUUUCAAGAUGAGUGAUCUUGGCCCCCUCAGCUAUUAUCCGGGCAUUGAAGUGGUACAAGGGAAGGGGGAGAUCACACUUUGUCAGCAAGCAUAUGCAGGAAAGAUCCUUGAGCAGGCAGGAAUGAGCGACUGCAAUAGUUGUCAUACUCCCAUGGAAUGCAGACUGAAACUCAAGAAGGAUGAUGGUGCAAAGGCCGUUGAUGCAACUCUGUAUCGCAGCAUAAUUGGAAGUCUUCGGUACCUCGUACACACUCGUCCUGACAUUGCUCAUUCUGUGGGGAUUGUGAGUCGGUUCAUGAAGAAUCCGAGCUCAAACCAUUGGGCGGCAGUCAAGCAAAUCCUGCGCUACAUUCAAAGGACGAGGCAUUAUGGCUGUCGUUACACGCGUGGUGGGACUGCAACUCUGCUCGGGUACAGUGAUAGCGACCACACCGGCGACAUAAGCGACCGCAAGAGCACAUCGGGUCAGGUCUUCUUCCUUGGAGACAAUCCGAUCAGCUGGGCUUCACAGAAGCAGAAAAUUGUGGCAAUUAGCUCCUGUGAAGCAGACUACGUAGCAGCAGUAGCAACCCAACAAGGGAUCUGGUUGAGCCAUCUCCUAGGCGAGAUGCAAGGCCAGGAAGCAACCAAGUUCAGACUGUUGGUGGACAACAAAUCAGCCAUUGCACUAGCCAAAAAUCCAGUUCAUCAUGAUCGAAGUAAGCACAUAGAUGUGAAGUUCCACUUCAUCCGUGAUAGCAUGGAAACUGGGCAAGUGGAACUUGAUUAUGUGCGGACACAAGAGCAGCUGGCAGAUGUUCUGAUGAAAUCUCUUGGAAGGGUUCAGUUCACUGAAAUGCGUCGAAGGUUGGGCAUUAUGGAGAUCAGUGGACGUCAAGCUUAGGGGGAGAUAUGUUAGAAUAAGCUCUCCGUCCGGCCGCUAGGGCCAGUUUCUGUUUUAAAUUUUGCACGCAUGCACUGAUGUUAGUAUGCAGCAUGUACGUAGUUGGGAUGUGGUCUAAGCACGAUCUCAUUUUUCCCUUUGUUGGUUUUUCCUGUAAACCCGGUCAGCGUGGCACGUUUGUGAGAAGGAGGUCGUGGGAUGGCGCGAUCAAUCCGGAUCACGACGGGCUGGCCGGGGUUUGUUAGCUAGGCUUUCGGUUGUACCAGGAAUAAGGGGAAAAAGGAAUGAAACAGAAAACGCUGCGCUGUUAGCUGCGGCACAAAAAGACUUUCCUCUCUCUCGCGUGCGUGUGUUCUUCAGCUCAGGUUCUUGGCUCGAUCGGCUAUUCGGCAACGACAC